rnacentral:rRNA from 1 species
GACGAACGCUGGCGGCGUGCUUAACACAUGCAAGUCGAACGGUGAAGCUCCAGCUUGCUGGAGUGGAUCAGUGGCGAACGGGUGAGUAACAAGUGAGCAACCUGCCCCUGACUCUGGAAUAAGCGCUGGAAACGGCGUCUAAUACUGGAUACGAGAAGGGUCCGCAUGGGCACUUUCUGGAAAGUUUUUCGGUUGGGGAUGGGCUCGCGGCCUAUGAGCUUGUUGGUGAGGUAAUGGCGCACCAAGGCGACGACCGGUAGCCGGCCUGAGAGGGCGAACGGGCACACGGGAAGUGAGCAGCGGUACAGAGGAAUAAGGGAGGCAGCAGUGGGGAAGGGGGGAAAAGGGGGGAAAUCCUGAUCCAGGGAGGAAGCGGGGGUGAAGAAGGUCGGCGGAGUGUGAAGCACUUUUAGUGGGGAAAAAGGGUAGGAAGGGAAAAACUUGCUGGGUGGACGUUACCAAAAGAAUAAGCACAGGCUAACGUCGUG